ensembl:snoRNA
AUCCUUUUCCAGUUCAUAAGCAUGAUGAUUGGGUGUUCACAGGUUUGUGCGGUAUGUGCCUCCCUUAACACUUGUUGUGCACUUGUCACAUUACUCAUCUGAUG